rnacentral:lncRNA from 1 species
GCUAUGAGGACUACCACUCCCUAUAGGCUAAAAAUCAGUUGUAAGGUUGAUCCAUAUUUGGGGACCUAUAGGCUAAAAAUCAGUUGUAAGGUUGAUCCAUAUUUGGGGACAAAUGUCAAGGAGGGUGUAGCCUAAGGAUCAGUUGUAAGGUUGAUCCAUAUUUGGGGACAAAUGUCAAGGAGGGUGUAAAUGUCAAGGAGGGUGUAGCCUAAGGAUCUGUUGUAAGGUUGAUCCAUAUUUGGGGACAAAUGUCAAGGAGGGUGUAAGGUUGAUCCAUAUUUGGGGACAAAUGUCAAGGAGGGUGUAAAUGUCAAGGAGGGUGUAGCCUAAGGAUCUGUUGUAAGGUUGAUCCAUAUUUGGGGACAAAUGUCAAGGAGGGUGCCUUAGUGGCACAACCUCCACGUCUUUGCCAUGCCAAUAGAUUAUCACCCGUUUUUUGUAUUCCAAAAAGCAACUCAAAGGAACGCCAAAGGCAAUGGUCAUAUUAAGACCAUUGAAUGUCAUUUAUUUUUAAAUUGCUCAUUUUUAACCUAAAAUUACAUAGCUUAAAACUUGUUUUACACAAUUUCAUCUCUUUCUUUCUGCUACGGAAUUACACAAACUACAACAAUUGAUCAAAACCAAAACACCCCUCCUCAAUCCUAAACCUAAUCAUCUCCUACCCAGCAUGAUUUUUGCUAAAUACAAGUCUUAUUUUAUUUUACUUACCCAAGGUUCGCCACAAUUGGUAUUCCAUCAAAACUAUUUCAAAAAAUUCCAAAAAACAUUUUUGGUUCAUCAUCGUUCAUAUUAAAAUUCCAAACACAAAUAAUCUUUUAAGCAACUCCUAGCUAUCACACACAAACAUCGAUAGAGAAUAUUGGUAGGGAAUGAUAACGAAACUAAAUGGAAAAAGCUUUAGGCAGUAGAAAAAAGAAAACCAAAGAUACCCAAAGGGGGAUAUAGUCAGACACUACAGGAGAAAAUUGCAUUAGCAGAAUCAUGGAGCACUACGUCAAAAAUCAACAUUGAUGGAAAAUGAUAUGAAAAAAAUAAAUGCUUUUAAGAAAAAUGGUCAUAAAUUUUCAUACUGAAAAAAAGUUCAUAUGAAGAAAAACAACGUUGAUUUCAACUUGUUCUGCUUAAGUUUCAUCAACAAUUUCUACCAACGAUAGCUAGUGGUUUUUAUUGAAUAAAUGUUGCUUGAUAGGUUGCUUGUGUUUGAAAUACAAAAUGAUAAAACCAGAAAAUGUUUUGUUAAAAUUUUAUCAUAGUCCCAUAAACAAUUCAUUAGAAAUAUCGUGAUGAAAUUACUAUAAAUGUGAGGUAAGAAAUUGCAGCGUUGAGUAAAAUUAAAUUAAGACUAAUAUCAAGCAAAUACCAUAGGAAAUCUUACAUGUUUUAGGUUUGAGUUCAGAUUUGGUGAAAGGGUAUUUGGAUUUUGAUCCAUUGAUGUAAUUUAUGCAACCACAAAACGGAAAAAAUCGCAUUAACAAUCUUGUAUCAAAAAAAAUAACGACGUACAUCAUAACAAUCUUGUAUCAACUCAUAAAAAUAAUGAAUCAUAACCAUAAAAAAAAAAACCUAGUAAAAAUGGUUGUACUAAGAAAAACAUAUUUGAAUCAUUUAACUUGAAAUGUUUAAAUUGAUAUUGGACAGAAAAACAAAUAUGUAGAACUUCAAAGAAUUAGCCGCUAUUUAUUUAAAAAUGCAUAAACACAACAAAUUUGUUGAAAAUCCGUAUUCUAGCCUUAAAACCUAAAUCAAAAUCUCACAACUUAACAAUUCGAGAAAAAAAAUUAGUGGAUUAGUAUGAUAAUAUUAGAAGAUAGAAUGUGGGAAAAAUGAUUGUUGAAGAAUCCAAUCAAGAAAAAUGGAGCACAACUGCCCACCUUUCCCAUGUCACAUUAAUGUUGCAGAGAACUCUUUCAGUCAAAGUGCAUCAAAUAGCACAACGCCGAUACACACUAUCUCUGCUUCUUAACUAAUCCAGAAUUAAUAAGUAAACUACUCGUUAAACAUCAGAUGUUUUAGAGAUUAUCUUAAUGGCGAAUAACAUGAACAAAAGAAAAAAAAUCGAAGUAUACAUAAAUAAAAAGAAAAGGAAGAAUUAGAACCUAGAAUCAUGCUUCGCUGUUGAAGAAAGAUGUGGCCGGUGGAUGGAAUAAAUAGGAGAGCGCUAGGGUUUAAUGUGAUUGUGGUUUACGUGGGCUUGAUAGAUAUGUUCUGGCCCAUUUUAUUUUAUAAUUUUGAUGUUUUAUAUAUAUGAAAUUAUGAACUUCACUAAAGAGAUUCUAGUCUCACUGCCUUUUUAAAUUAACAAAAUUCCAGUUCAAUUUACUUUUUAGGUAGAUUAUACUUUAUAAAUAAAUAAAUUACAUUCUACUCGGUAGGUUUUUUUUGGGUUGUCUUUGGAUUUUAACCAUGUAUAUUUUUAUAUGAAAUUGAAUCAUAUGUGAUUGACAUAUAUUAUAUAAAAUAUCUAAAACAUAUUGACAUCUAAUAUGACAUAAUUUGUUUAUUUAUCUUUAAAUAGCGUUGAGAUCUAGUUCAGUGUUAAUUCAAAUAUGACAAUGCGUUGAAAUAUAUUCCAACUAGGCGAAUGUUCGCGCGUUGCGCAGAAACACCUAUAUAGUUGAAGUCUUU